GAUAAACGCUAGCGGCAGGCUUAACACAUGCAAGUCGAGGGGCAGCAUAGAUUGUAGCAAUACAAUUGGUGGCGACCGGCGCACGGGUGCGUAACGCGUAUGCAACCUACCCGUCACAGGGGGACAAUCCGGAGAAAUCUGGUCUAAUACCCCAUAACAUAUGGAUCAGCAUCGGUUCAUGUUGAAAUUUUCGGAGGUGACGGAUGGGCAUGCGUAGCAUUAGCUUGUUGGUGAGGUAACGGCUCACCAAGGCGACGAUGCUUAGGGGGACUGAGAGGUGUUCCCCCCACACUGGUACUGAGACACGGACCAGACUCCUACGGGAGGCAGCAGUGAGGAAUAUUGGUCAAUGGGCGCAAGCCUGAACCGGCCAUGCCGCGUGCAGGAUGACGGCUCUAUGAGUUGUAAACUGCUUUUGUACGAGGGUAAAGUGGGUUACGUGUAACCUUUUGAAAGUAUCGUACGAAUAAGGAUCGGCUAACUCCGUGCCAGCCGCCGCCGUAA
rnacentral:rRNA from 1 species